CAUGAAGCUGGAAUCGCUAGUAAUCGCGGAUCAGAAUGCCGCGGUGAAUACGUUCCCGGGUCUUGUACACACCGCCCGUCACACCAUGGGAGUCGGAAAUGCCCGAAGUCUGUGACCCAACCGAAAGGAGGGAGCAGCCGAAGGCAGGUCGGAUGACUGGGGUGAAGUCGUAACAAGGUACC
rnacentral:rRNA from 1 species